GCGGCAGCGGGGGGAAGCUUGCUUCCCCGCCGGCGAGCGGCGGACGGGUGAGUAAUGUCUGGGGAUCUGCCUGAUGGAGGGGGAUAACUACUGGAAACGGUAGCUAAUACCGCAUAACGUCGCAAGACCAAAGUGGGGGACCUUCGGGCCUCACGCCAUCGGAUGAACCCAGAUGGGAUUAGCUAGUAGGUGGGGUAACGGCUCACCUAGGCGACGAUCCCUAGCUGGUCUGAGAGGAUGACCAGCCACACUGGAACUGAGACACGGUCCAGACUCCUACGGGAGGCAGCAGUGGGGAAUAUUGCACAAUGGGGGAAACCCUGAUGCAGCCAUGCCGCGUGUGUGAAGAAGGCCUUCGGGUUGUAAAGCACUUUCAGCGGGGAGGAAGGCGGCAAGGUUAAUAACCUUGCCGAUUGACGUUACCCGCAGAAGAAGCACCGG
rnacentral:rRNA from 1 species